rnacentral:rRNA from 1 species
AAUAUUGCACAAUGGAGGAAACUCUGAUGCAGCGACGCCCCGUGAGUGAUGAAGGCUUACGAGUCGUGAAGCUCUGUCCUAGGGGACGAUAAUGACGGUACUCUAGGAGGAAGCCCCGGCUAACGACGCGCCAGCAGCCGCGGUAAUACGGAGGGGGCGGGCGUUGUCCGGAAUUAGUGGGCGUAAAGGGUUCGCAGGCGGCCUUUUAAGUCAGAUGUGAAAGCCCACGGCUUAACCGUGGUAAGCAUUUGAAACUGGAAGGCUUGAGUUAAGGAGAGGAAAGUGGAAUUCCUAGUGUAGCGGUGAAAUGCGUAGAUAUUAGGAGGAAUACCAGUGGCGAAGGCGACUUUCUGGACUUAUACUGACGCUGAGGAACGAAAGCGUGGGGAGCAAACAG